rnacentral:rRNA from 1 species
UACGUAGGGACCGAGCGUUGUCCGGAAUCAUUGGGCGUAAAGAGCGUGUAGGCGGCCUAUUAAGUCCUGCGUGAAAUCUCGGGGCUCAACCCCGAGCGGUCGUGGGAAACUGGUUGGCUAGAGUGCGGGAGAGGAGAGUGGAAUUCCUGGUGUAGCGGUGAAAUGCGCAGAUAUCAGGAAGAACACCCGUGGCGAAGGCGGCUCUCUGGAACGCAACUGACGCUGAGACGCGAAAGCGUGGGGAGCAAACAGG